rnacentral:rRNA from 1 species
AGAGUUUGAUCCUGGCUCAGAUUGAACGCUGGCGGCAGGCUUAACACAUGCAAGUCGAGCGGAAACGACAACAUUGAUUCUUCGGAGGAUUUGUUGGGCGUCGAGCGGCGGACGGGUGAGUAAUGCUUAGGAAUUUGCCCAGUUGAGGGGGAUAACUAUUGGAAACGAUAGCUAAUACCGCAUACGCUCAGGGGAGGAAAGAGGGGGACCUUCGGGCCUCUCGCGAUUGGAUAAGCCUAAGUGAGAUUAGCUAGUUGGUGAGGUAAGGGCUCACCAAGGCGACGAUCUCUAGCUGGUCUGAGAGGAUGAUCAGCCACACUGGAACUGAGACACGGUCCAGACUCCUACGGGAGGCAGCAGUGGGGAAUAUUGCACAAUGGGCGAAAGCCUGAUGCAGCCAUGCCGCGUGUAUGAAGAAGGCCUUCGGGUUGUAAAGUACUUUCAGCAGUGAGGAAGGGCGGUACGUUAAUAGCGUAUUGUCUUGACGUUAGCUGCAGAAGAAGCACCGGCUAACUCCGUGCCAGCAGCCGCGGUAAUACGGAGGGUGCGAGCGUUAAUCGGAAUUACUGGGCGUAAAGCGCAUGCAGGUGGUUUGUUAAGUCAGAUGUGAAAGCCCGAGGCUCAACCUCGGAAGGUCAUUUGAAACUGGCAAACUAGAGUACUGUAGAGGGGGGUAGAAUUUCAGGUGUAGCGGUGAAAUGCGUAGAGAUCUGAAGGAAUACCAGUGGCGAAGGCGGCCCCCUGGACAGAUACUGACACUCAGAUGCGAAAGCGUGGGGAGCAAACAGGAUUAGAUACCCUGGUAGUCCACGCCGUAAACGAUGUCUACUUGGAGGUUGUGGCCUUGAGCCGUGGCUUUCGGAGCUAACGCGUUAAGUAGACCGCCUGGGGAGUACGGUCGCAAGAUUAAAACUCAAAUGAAUUGACGGGGGCCCGCACAAGCGGUGGAGCAUGUGGUUUAAUUCGAUGCAACGCGAAGAACCUUACCUACUCUUGACAUCUACAGAAUCCAGCGGAGACGCAGGAGUGCCUUCGGGAACUGUAAGACAGGUGCUGCAUGGCUGUCGUCAGCUCGUGUUGUGAAAUGUUGGGUUAAGUCCCGCAACGAGCGCAACCCUUAUCCUUAUUUGCCAGCACGUAAUGGUGGGAACUCUAAGGAGACUGCCGGUGAUAAACCGGAGGAAGGUGGGGACGACGUCAAGUCAUCAUGGCCCUUACGAGUAGGGCUACACACGUGCUACAAUGGCGCAUACAAAGGGCUGCAAACCAGCGAUGGUAAGCGAAUCCCAUAAAGUGCGUCGUAGUCCGGAUUGGGGUCUGCAACUCGACCCCAUGAAGUCGGAAUCGCUAGUAAUCGUGAAUCAGCAACGCUACGGUGAAUACGUUCCCGGGCCUUGUACACACCGCCCGUCACACCAUGGGAGUGGGCUGCAAAAGAAGUAGGUAGUUUAACCUUCGGGAGGACGCUUACCACGGUGUGGUUCAUGACUGGGGUGAAGUCGUAACAAGGUAGCCGUAGGGGAACCUGCGGCUGGAUCACCUCCUU